UAUAUAUAUAUACAUAUAUAUAUAUAUAUAUAUAUAUAUAUAUAUAUAUUUUGUAACUGCUGGCAGAAGUGAAAUAGAUCCAACCAGGAUUUCUUCCACCUACUCCAACUGAAGAAAUAAAACCACAUGAGAGCUGUUAUCCGAUGAGGGAUUGAAAAGACUCCAUUUUUCAGCAGAACCUGAAGCUCAGUGGCAAACAUUCCAAGCAAUAACUCAAAAAUCCAGUUUGGUUUCAUAUCAUCUGCAAUCAACUGUUCUUGCAUGGAGUCCUUUCCUCCUCUUCCAACUACUAAAUUCUAUUCAGGAAAGUGCAUUUCCAUUGGCAAGUGUAAGUCUUUCAUCAGUGGUAAAUCCUUGUAUCCCAGAAUGUUCAUAGGGAGUUGGGAUCUGAGAUUGCUCUGCCAUGACACCUCAAUCCCGAGCUCUCUAUAG
rnacentral:lncRNA from 1 species